GAACGCUGGCGGCGUGCUUAACACAUGCAAGUCGAACGAUGAUGCCCAGCUUGCUGGGUGGAUUAGUGGCGAACGGGUGAGUAACACGUGAGUAACCUGCCCCUGACUCUGGGAUAAGCGUUGGAAACGACGUCUAAUACUGGAUAUGAUCACUGGCCGCAUGGUCUGGUGGUGGAAAGAUUUUUUGGUUGGGGAUGGACUCGCGGCCUAUCAGCUUGUUGGUGAGGUAAUGGCUCACCAAGGCGACGACGGGUAGCCGGCCUGAGAGGGUGACCGGCCACACUGGGACUGAGACACGGCCCAGACUCCUACGGGAGGCAGCAGUGGGGAAUAUUGCACAAUGGGCGAAAGCCUGAUGCAGCAACGCCGCGUGAGGGAUGACGGCCUUCGGGUUGUAAACCUCUUUUAGUAGGGAAGAAGCGAAAGUGACGGUACCUGCAGAAAAAGCACCGGCUAACUACGUGCCAGCAGCCGCGGUAAUACGUAGGGUGCAAGCGUUGUCCGGAAUUAUUGGGCGUAAAGAGCUCGUAGGCGGUUUGUCGCGUCUGCUGUGAAAUCCCGAGGCUCAACCUCGGGCUUGCAGUGGGUACGGGCAGACUAGAGUGCGGUAGGGGAGAUUGGAAUUCCUGGUGUAGCGGUGGAAUGCGCAGAUAUCAGGAGGAACACCGAUGGCGAAGGCAGAUCUCUGGGCCGUAACUGACGCUGAGGAGCGAAAGCAUGGGGAGCGAACAGGAUUAGAUACCCUGGUAGUCCAUGCCGUAAACGUUGGGCGCUAGAUGUAGGGACCUUUCCACGGUUUCUGUGUCGUAGCUAACGCAUUAAGCGCCCCGCCUGGGGAGUACGGCCGCAAGGCUAAAACUCAAAGGAAUUGACGGGGGCCCGCACAAGCGGCGGAGCAUGCGGAUUAAUUCGAUGCAACGCGAAGAACCUUACCAAGGCUUGACAUACACCGGAAACGGCCAGAGAUGGUCGCCCCCUUGUGGUCGGUGUACAGGUGGUGCAUGGUUGUCGUCAGCUCGUGUCGUGAGAUGUUGGGUUAAGUCCCGCAACGAGCGCAACCCUCGUUCUAUGUUGCCAGCGGGUUAUGCCGGGGACUCAUAGGAGACUGCCGGGGUCAACUCGGAGGAAGGUGGGGAUGACGUCAAAUCAUCAUGCCCCUUAUGUCUUGGGCUUCACGCAUGCUACAAUGGCCGGUACAAAGGGCUGCGAUACCGUAAGGUGGAGCGAAUCCCAAAAAGCCGGUCUCAGUUCGGAUUGAGGUCUGCAACUCGACCUCAUGAAGUCGGAGUCGCUAGUAAUCGCAGAUCAGCAACGCUGCGGUGAAUACGUUCCCGGGCCUUGUACACACCGCCCGUCAAGUCAUGAAAGUCGGUAACACCCGAAGCCGGUGGCCUAACCCUUGUGGAAGGAGCCGUCGAAGGUGGGAUCGGUGAUUAGGACUAAGUCGUAACAAGGUAGCCGUACCGGAAGG
rnacentral:rRNA from 1 species